AUACGGAGGAUCCGAGCGUUAUCCGGAUUUAUUGGGUUUAAAGGGUGCGCAGGCGGGAGAUUAAGUCGGCGGUGAAAUUUUGCAGCUCAACUGUAAAAGUGCCUUCGAAACUGGUUUCCUUGAGUGUAGAUGAAGUAGGCGGAAUUUGUGGUGUAGCGGUGAAAUGCAUAGAUAUCACGAGGAACUCCGAUUGCGCAGGCAGCUUACUAAACUACUACUGACGCUCAGGCACGAAGGCGUGGGGAUCAAACAGGAUUAGAUACCCUGGUAGUCCACGCAGUAAACGAUGAUUACUAGCUGUUUGCGAUACAAUGUAAGCGGCUGAGCGAAAGCGUUAAGUAAUCCACCUGGGGAGUACGUUCGCAAGAAUGAAACUUAAAGGAAUUGACGGGG
rnacentral:rRNA from 1 species